UACGGAGGGUGCAAACGUUGCUCGGAAUCAUUGGGCGUAAAGCGCACGUAGGCGGCUCGUUAAGUCGGGUGUGAAAGCCCUGGGCUCAACCCAGGAAGUGCACUCGAUACUGGUGAGCUUGAAUAUGGAAGAGGGUCGCGGAAUUCCCGGUGUGGAGGUGAAAUUCGUAGAUAUCGGGAGGAACACCAGUGGCGAAGGCGGCGACCUGGGCCAACACUGACGCUCAUGCACGAAAGCGUGGGGAGCAAACAGG
rnacentral:rRNA from 1 species